rnacentral:lncRNA from 1 species
UUCCGGUAUGGAGUGUACCGGAGGAGGAGGUACGUCAGGGUUUACUGUGAUGACGUGGCGGUUGGUGUUACGGGGAGUAGUAGUUCGGGGAAGAUGGUUGGGUCGGGGAAGAGAUGCAAUUCUUAUUGAGUUAUUUGGAAUCAAGAAUUACCUUUAGGGAUAUUUUUACAAUUUUAGGGUCUGGUUUUAACCAAUUCCUGCGGUUAUUGAAUGUAUAAAUCGACG